UAAAGUCUGAUGGGCAAUAAAGUGGCCCUUUGCUUUGGAGACCCCUGAUAUAGAGUCCUGAGUGCAAUGGAACUGGGCUGAAUGCAGACUGAGCUCUGUGAUUGGCUGAUCCCCUGUCAGUGAAGUCUACUAUCUUGCUGUAAUUGACGUUGACCAGCUUGUGUUGGAUGAGCUGCUUCUCUGAGCCAGCAGAUGGCAGUAUAAUGUCAGAGGGUUAUGGCAGGAGGGCAGUGGCUAAGGAAUGAGCCACGCCCCCGAGGUGCUGAACUGUGCACGUUUCUAAACUACACAGGCCGUUUUUUUCACAGAAUGCCUUCAACCAAUUUUACUAAACUGAAUAAAUCUUUCUUAAAGCAAAUAGCAACUAAUGAACAACUCCUGAAAUUGUAAUAUCCUGGCUGUUAUCGUGGCCCCAGGCUUCAGUACUUUCAUAGUGACUGGCUCCAUAAUAAGGAUAAUAAUUAACCUUAAUAGAAGAGUAAAAUAAGAACUUACUAUUUAUAUAGUCAUUUUGAAUUUGUGGUUCCAUUUAAAAAAAAAAAAAAAAGGGUCAGCCAGACAAGUGACAUUUUCAGGAGAGAUCAGCACUGGCCACUGCCAUUCUUCUUUUAUGAUAGAUUUUUUUGACAAGGUCUUUUGCAUAAUCAACCUACAAAGAAUACGGAUGUUGGUAAAGAGCAGUGGCCGAUAUCAAUGAGAUUUUAGGUGUUUCUGUAAAUUAGGAAAUUGUGAAAUACUUGUCUGUCAUCUUCAUAUCCGCCCCAUUGGCUCUCUUUGGUGAUGGGCCUUAUGGCCUCUGACAGACGUGGGAGGGACUGAUUUGGCGGGGCUGUGGAUUGGCUAACUCUGCCUGAGAAUCAGUCUCAAAGAUAUUUUGGAAGAGACCACAUGACUAAUGCCUAGGCUUUAAUCACAUGACCCGCUAACAGAGGGAGUCGGGACUGGUUUCUGUAGAUUGGGUCAUUCUCCCAUUAUUUUACCAGAGCAGUGGAAGGGAUGUGAUUUCUUAGGUGGGUAUUACAAAAGUUAUCUGAUUGCUGUGGCUUUACUGCUCUUUACACCUCCCUUACCUUUGUUUGCACUGCUCUUGGAUUUCGAUAGAUAUAAAUGCAGGCCGUGUUCACAUAUAACGGCACACUUAAAACCAUUUUCUCUGCGAGUAGUAAAAUUAGAUCUUUUACCUUGUAUGCACUGGGCCACAUAGAUCCAUUGUUUUACACUAUUAGGGAUCUAUUACAGGGAUUCCAUGUAAAAAGGUUGCUGAAUUCUGUCCUAAAAAUAUCAGCAACACUGUGUCUUGGUGUAAUGCAAUUCAACCACUAGAUGUCACUGUGAUGACAUCAUCAUAUUAUAUCAUGUCAUUGCUUCAUUUCUCUAUGACCUCAGAUUAGCCAAUGGUGACUUUGCAACUGAAUGUAUUUUAUUCAUUAUAGAACCAACUCAAUGCUGCUUUUUCAGAAGAGGGCUAUCUGUAGCUGAUUUGAUUUUACUGUUAUUAAAACAAUAAAGCAUCUUAAACAGAAAA